AUUUGUAUCAAUUGAAGACCUUGUUAAAGUACACAUUCUAAUUCAAUAGAAUAUUUUGAUUAGGGCCUGAGAGUCUGCAUCUCUAAUAAGCUUCAGGUAUACAAAU
rnacentral:pre_miRNA from 1 species